rnacentral:rRNA from 1 species
GGAAAUUCCGGGUCAGAGGGCGCGGUAAGAAGGGGGGUGCGAGGGUUAAUCGGGAGUAAUGGGCGUAAAGGGCACGGAGGGUGUCGUUCAAGUCGGAGGUGCAAUCCCCGGGCUCAACCGGGGGACUGCAUUCGAAACUGGCAGGCUAGAGUCUUGUAGAGGGGGGUAGAAUUCCAGGUGUAGCGGUGAAAUGCGUAGAGAUCUGGAGGAAUACCGGUGGCGAAGGCGGCCCCCUGGACAAAGACUGACGCUCAGGUGCGAAAGCGUGGGGAGCAAACAGGAUUAGAUACCCGUGUAGUC